GAUCCUCUUAGCCCCAUAAAAUGGAAACACCAGAGACUUGUAAUAUACCAGCCAGAUUUAUAACAGUAAAGCUCCAACCCUAAAGUGCACAAAGCUCAAUUGAUAUAAGUUCGAGCUGCUCACCUAGAUUGGGCAAACGUACCCUACCUUACUCUGUAUCUCCCGUCUAUGAUGUCCCUGGCUACUUGUGGCUUCUCCAGACCAGGUCUUGUGAUCUCUGUCAAGGGAACUUAGAGGAGACACAAACAGUGUAGUGCAGAGGAUGGGCAGAGAAUAGAACAUCAACGAAGGACAGGAGUGGCCAGAGGAACCACUGUACCAACCUGCUACUCGGGCUGGCUUUCAAUGAACUCCAAAGCGUUCCUGCUCAAGUGACUGGAAGGCCGGUGCGGACUGACUCAGUGGUGUGGUGCAAUGACAAAUGAAGCAUCCUUCCACUAACCUCAGACUACCAUGCUUCUCCCAGGGCAGAGGUGACUGAGAGCAUUCUAUACAACAUUUAUUUAAAAACCCAUGCGUGCCUGAGCAACCGUGCCCAUGCACACACACACACACACACACACACACACACACACACACACACACACACACACAUAUUCCUGUAUGCAUUUUUAUGUUAAAAUUUACCAGUCUAAUAUUGAUUAUGAAGUUUUUACUAUUAUCUACAUAUUUUCUAUUUUGUUGUUGUAGAUUAUAGAUGCUAUUAAUUUUUGAGUUAGCAUAAAAGCAAUACUAAGAUGGCAUAUCGAUGCAUGUUAUUAUGUGCUUUGUUCUCAUUUAUUCCUGUCUAACACAUAUGUUUCUUAUUAAAUAUUUUUGGGUUUUUUUUAAUAUUUAUUUAUUUUCAGGUACACCGCUAUUUUGCCUGCGUGCAUGUCCAUGCACCACACGCA
rnacentral:lncRNA from 1 species